UUAAGAGAAAUGCAGUCUAAGUUCGCUACAUCGUGUCGCAAUGACUGCAUGACCUACAUCCUGUAGA
rnacentral:sRNA from 1 species